GACGAACGCUGGCGGCGUGCCUAAUACAUGCAAGUUGAGCGCUGAAGGUUGGUACUUGUACCCACUGGAUGAGCAGCGAACGGGUGAGUAACGCGUGGGGAAUCUGCCUUUGAGCGGGGGACAACAUUUGGAAACGAAUGCUAAUACCGCAUAAAAACUUUAAACACAAGUUUUAAGUUUGAAAGAUGCAAUUGCAUCACUCAAAGAUGAUCCCGCGUUGUAUUAGCUAGUUGGUGAGGUAAAGGCUCACCAAGGCGAUGAUACAUAGCCGACCUGAGAGGGUGAUCGGCCACAUUGGGACUGAGACACGGCCCAAACUCCUACGGGAGGCAGCAGUAGGGAAUCUUCGGCAAUGGACGAAAGGCUGACCGAGCAACGCCGCGUGAGUGAAGAAGGUUUUCGGAUCGUAAAACUCGGUUGGUAGAGAAGAACGUUGGUGAGAGUGGAAAGCUCAUCAAGUGACGGUAACUACCCAGAAAGGGACGGCUAACUACGUG
rnacentral:rRNA from 1 species